GGCUUCGUAGCUCAGCUGAUAGAGCGCUUGCCGCGUAGAGGCAUGGUGUUUCUGUCGCUGGUUCGAAUCCAGCCGAAGCUC
rnacentral:tRNA from 1 species